ensembl:snoRNA
GCUUGUUAGAAAUACAGAAAUCCAUGUAAGACCUGGAGGCAAAGAAAUGUGGACUUGGGGAAUCUCUGGGGCCAGCCUGCUCCCUGCAGGCUCAACACCAACCAUUCCACAUUG